UCACCCCAGUCACGAAUCCUACCGUGGUAAGCGCCCUCCUUGCGGUUAAGCUACCUACUUCUGGUAAAACCCGCUCCCAUGGUGUGACGGGCGGUGUGUACAAGACCCGGGAACGUAUUCACCGCGACAUGCUGAUCCGCGAUUACUAGCGAUUCCAACUUCAUGUAGUCGAGUUGCAGACUACAAUCCGGACUACGAUACACUUCCUGGGAUUAGCUCCCCCUCGCGGGUUGGCGGCCCUCUGUAUGUACCAUUGUAUGACGUGUGAAGCCCUACCCAUAAGGGCCAUGAGGACUUGACGUCAUCCCCACCUUCCUCCGGUUUGUCACCGGCAGUCUCAUUAGAGUGCUCUUUCGUAGCAACUAAUGACAAGGGUUGCGCUCGUUGCGGGACUUAACCCAACAUCUCACGACACGAGCUGACGACAGCCAUGCAGCACCUGUGUGACGGCUCUCUUUCGAGCACCCUCAGAUCUCUCCGAGGUUCCGUCCAUGUCAAGGGUAGGUAAGGUUUUUCGCGUUGCAUCGAAUUAAUCCACAUCAUCCACCGCUUGUGCGGGUCCCCGUCAAUUCCUUUGAGUUUUAAUCUUGCGACCGUACUCCCCAGGCGGUCUACUUCACGCGUUAGCUGCGUUACCAAGUUAAUUAAAACCCGACAAACUAGUAGACAUCGUUUAGGGCGUGGACUACCAGGGUAUCUAAUCCUGUUUGCUCCCCACGCUUUCGUGCAUGAGCGUCAAUCUUGACCCAGGGGGCUGCUUUCGCCAUCGGCGUUCCUCCACAUCUCUACGCAUUUCACUGCUACACGUGGAAUUCUACCCCCCUCUGCCAGAUUCUAGCCUUGCAGUCUCCAUCGCAAUUCCCAGGUUGAGCCCGGGGAUUUCACGACAGACUUACAAAACCGCCUGCGCACGCUUUACGCCCAGUAAUUCCGAUUAACGCUUGCACCCUACGUAUUACCGCGGCUGCUGGCACGUAGUUAGCCGGUGCUUAUUCUUCAGGUACCGUCAUCAGCAAAGGAUAUUAGCCUUCACCGUUUCUUCCCUGACAAAAGAGCUUUACAACCCGAAGGCCUUCUUCACUCACGCGGCAUUGCUGGAUCAGGCUUUCGCCCAUUGUCCAAAAUUCCCCACUGCUGCCUCCCGUAGGAGUCUGGACCGUGUCUCAGUUCCAGUGUGGCUGGUCGUCCUCUCAGACCAGCUACUGAUCGAUGCCUUGGUAGGCCUUUACCCCACCAACUAGCUAAUCAGAUAUCGGCCGCUCCAGGAGCAUGAGGUCUUGCGAUCCCCCACUUUCAUCCUUAGAUCGUAUGCGGUAUUAGCGUAACUUUCGCUACGUUAUCCCCCACUCCAGGGUACGUUCCGAUAUAUUACUCACCCGUUCGCCACUCGCCGCCAGGUUGCCCCGCGCUGCCGUUCGACUUGCAUGUGUAAGGCAUGCCGCCAG
rnacentral:rRNA from 1 species